rnacentral:rRNA from 1 species
UACGUAGGGGGCAAGCGUUGUCCGGAAUCAUUGGGCGUAAAGAGCGUGUAGGCGGCCCGAUAAGUCCGCUGUGAAAGUCCAGGGCUCAACCCUGGGAUGCCGGUGGAUACUGUCGGGCUCGAGUCCGGAAGAGGCGAGUGGAAUUCCUGGUGUAGCGGUGAAAUGCGCAGAUAUCAGGAGGAACACCGGUGGUGUAGACGGCUUUCUGGACCGUAACUGACGCUGAGACACGAAAGCGUGGGUAGCAAACAGG